rnacentral:rRNA from 1 species
CCUACGGGUGGCUGCAGUAAGGAAUAUUGGACAAUGCCCGCAAGGGUGAUCCAGCCAUGCCGCGUGCAGGAAGACGGACCUAUGGUUUGUAAACUGCUUUUGAACAAGAGAAAACCCCCUUACGUGUAAGGGGCUGAUAGUAUUGUUAGAAUAAGCAUCGGCUAACUUCGUGCCAGCAGCCGCGGUAAGACGAAGGAUGCAGGCGUUAUCCGGAUUAAUUGGGUUGAAAGGGGGCUUAGGAGGCUGGGGUGAAAGCUUCUCGCUUAACGAGAAAACUGCCAUUGAUACUGUCAAGCUUGAGUACAGUUGCCGUUGGCGGAAUAUGACAUGUAGUGGUGAAAUACAUAGAGAUGUCAUAGAACACCGAUUGCGAAGGCAGCUAACGAAACUGUAACUGACGCUGAGGCUCGAAAGUGCGGGGAUCAAACAGGAUUAGAUACCCGUGUAGUC